rnacentral:rRNA from 1 species
CCUACGGGAGGCAGCAGUGGGGAAUAUUGGGCAAUGGGCGCAAGCCUGACCCAGCAACGCCGCGUGAAGGAAGAAGGCUUUCGGGUUGUAAACUUCUUUUGUCAGGGAAGAGUAGAAGACGGUACCUGACGAAUAAGCCACGGCUAACUACGUGCCAGCAGCCGCGGUAAUACGGAGGUGUCAAGCGUUGUACGGAUUUACUGGGUGUAAAGGGCGUGUAGCCGGGUUGACAAGUCAGAUGUGAAAUCCUGCGGCUUAACCGCAGAACUGCAUUUGAAACUGUUGAUCUUGAGUACUGGAGAGGCAGACGGAAUUCCGAGUGUAGCGGUGAAAUGCGUAGAUAUUAGGAGGAACACCAGUGGCGAAGGCGGUCUGCUGGACAGCAACUGACGGUGAGGCGCGAAAGCGUGGGGAGCAAACAGGAUUAGAUACCCUAGUAGUC